rnacentral:rRNA from 1 species
GUCUACGGUCAUACUACCCUGAACAAGCCUGAUCCCAUAUGAUCUUGGAAGCUAAGCAGGAUCGGACCUGGUUAGUACUUGGAUGAGAGACCACCUAUCUCUAAAUUAUAAAUAUGUAUACU